rnacentral:rRNA from 1 species
GAUGAACGCUGGCGGCGUGCCUAACACAUGCAAGUCGAACGGAGAUUACGGACGGAAGUUUUCGGAUGGAAGACUGUAAUUCUUAGUGGCGGACGGGUGAGUAACGCGUGGGCAACCUGCCCUAUACAGGGGGAUAGCAGCUGGAAACGGCUGGUAAGACCGCAUAAGUCGGUUAAAUCGCAUGAUUUGAUCGGGAAAUGAGCAAUCAGGUAUAGGAUGGGCCCGCGUCCGAUUAGCCAGUUGGCAGGGUAAAAGCCUACCAAAGCGACGAUCGGUAGCCGGACUGAGAGGUCGGACGGCCACAUUGGGACUGGGACACGGCCCAAACUCCUACGGGAGGCAGCAGUGGGGGAUAUUGCACAAUGGAGGAAACUCUGAUGCAGCGACGCCGCGUGAGUGAAGAAGUAUUUCGGUAUGUAAAGCUCUAUCAGCAGGGAAGAUGAUGACGGUACCUGACUAAGAAGCCCCGGCUAACUACGUG